AUGGGAUUUUCAAGGCAAGAGUACUGGAGUGGGGUGCCAUCACCUUCUCCGUCACGAACAAUUUCAUGGACUCCGACAAGAAAGCGAUGGAGCUCUAAGAAACAAAUUACAGCCACUCUCAGUUCAGCACAGCAUCGGCAGACAUUGGUGUUUACUCAUCACAGGAGCAUCUACUAACAGUCAGUGGGAGACAUGGAGUUACCAUGUUAGAGAUAAUUUCUCCAGUUCGCAGAGAGUGAGAAUGGUGUCCUCAAGAUCUCACCCUGGAGGGCCGGCUCCCUGUGCAGCCCCUCCCAGCUGGCAGGGGUUGGCAGAAAGGGUAAACCUUCUUGGAUGGCCUUCAGACUGGAGCACAGUAAACACCAGAAGGUGAAUAUUUCCCAAAUCCUGUUGACAAAAAUUCCUCCUCAUGGAUCCAGUCACAGAUGGAAGGGAAUGUCCAGGGGCCCGUUAAGUAAGCUAUCUAGUUUGAAGGAAUUGCCGAAAGCAGCAAAAUUGCUGAAGACAAGUGGCUCUGAGCAGGCUCAGAAACCAGUGCCCCCUCCCAGAGAAGCAAGGACCCCUGGACAACACCCCAGACGAAAAGUCGAACUCAGAAGAAAGGAGACUGGAGUGAAGAGGGAUAGUCUACGAGAAAGAAAAAGCCACGUGUGCCAAGAGGUCAGCGAGCCCCAGGAAGAUGACUGCCUCUGUGAGUGACCCUGCUGGCCCACUCACGGAGAAGGGGUUAUGAGGCCUCGGUCCAGUAACCUCAC